UAGUGGCGAACGGGUGAGUAACAUGUGGGUAACCUGCCCUUAAAUGGGGAAUAACUUCGAGAAAUCGGAGCUAAUACCGCAUGAUGUUCCGUUUCAUAAGGAACGGGACCAAAGGUCCUGUAAGGGACUGUUUAAGGAUGGGCCCGCAACCUAUUAGCUUGUUGGUAGGGUAACGGCCUACCAAGGCCACGAUGGGUAGCCGACCUGAGAGGGUAGACGGCCACACUGGGAUUGAGAUACGGCCCAGACUCCUACGGGAGGCAGCAGUGGGGAAUUUUGGACAAUGGGGGAAACCCUGAUCCAGCGACGCCGCGUGAGGGAUGAAGGCCUUCGGGUUGUAAACCUCUGUCAGAGAGAACGAAUUAGCUCCGAUUCUGUCGGAGCAGGACGGUACCCUCAGAGGAAGCCACGGCUAACUCCGUGCCAGCAGCCGCGGUAAUACGGAGGUGGCAAGCGUUAUCCGGAUUCAUUGGGCAUAAAGGGCGUGUAGGUGUCUCCAUAAGUCGGAUGUGAAAUCCUUCUGCUCAACAGAAGAACGGCAUUCGAAACUGUGGGGAUUGAGUACAGGAGAGGAGAGUGGAAUUCCUGGUGUAGCGGUGAAAUGCGUAGAUAUCAGGAGGAACACCGGUGGCGAAGGCGACUCUCUGGCCUGAUACUGACACUGAAACGCGAAAGCUAGGGGAGCAAACAGGAUUAGAUACCCUGGUAGUCCUAGCCGUAAACGAUGCUCACUAGGUGUGGGAGGUGUUAAUU
rnacentral:rRNA from 1 species